CCCGCGCCCGGCCCGCCGCCCCCGCCCCCCUACGGGAGGCAGCAGUAAGGAAUAUUGCGCAAUGGACGACAGUCUGACGCAGCGACGCCGCGUGGGGGACGAAGGUCUUCGGAUUGUAAACCCCUUUCGGGAGGGAAGAUGGGGUGGGGUAACCCACUCGGACGGUACCUCCAGAAGCAGCCACGGCUAACUUCGUGCCAGCAGCCGCGGUAAUACGAAGGUGGCGAGCGUUGUUCGGAUUUACUGGGCGUACAGGGAGCGUAGGCGGUUCGGUAAGCCCUCUGUGAAAUCUCCAGGCUUAACCUGGAACAGUCGGAGGGGACUGCUGGGCUAGAGGAUGGGAGAGGAGCGCGGAAUUCCCGGUGUAGCGGUGAAUUGCGUAGAGAUCGGGAGGAAGGCCGGUGGCGACGGCGGCGCUCUGGAACAUUUCUGACGAUGAGGCUCGACAGCGUGGGGAGCAAACAGGAUCAGAUACCUUGGUGGUCCUC
rnacentral:rRNA from 1 species